rnacentral:rRNA from 1 species
AAACCAACAGGGAUUACCUCAGUACCGGCGAGUGAAGCGGUAACAGCUCAAAUUUGAAAUCUGGCUCUUUUAGGGUCCGAGUUGUAAUUUGUAGAAGAUGCUUUGGGUGUGGCCUUGGUCUAAGUUCCUUGGAACAGGACGUCAUAGAGGGUGAGAAUCCCGUAUGUGACUAGGUGCUUUCGCCCGUGUAAAGCUCUUUCGACGAGUCGAGUUGUUUGGGAAUGCAGCUCAAAAUGGGUGGUAAAUUUCAUCUAAAGCUAAAUAUUGGCCAGAGACCGAUAGCGCACAAGUAGAGUGAUCGAAAGAUGAAAAGCACUUUGGAAAGAGAGUUAAACAGUACGUGAAAUUGUUGAAAGGGAAGCGCUUGCAACCAGACUUAGGCGCGGCCGAUCAUCUAGGGUUCUCCCUGGUGCACUCGGUCGUCUCUAGGCCAGCAUCGGUUUGGGUGGUGGGAUAAAGGCCGUGGGAAUGUAGCUUCUUUCGGGGAGUGUUAUAGCCCUCGGUGCAAUGCCGCCUACCUGGACCGAGGACCGCGCUUCGGCUAGGAUGCUGGCGUAAUGGUUGUAAGCGAC